AUUGAACGCUGGCGGCAGGCCUAACACAUGCAAGUCGAACGAGCGGCGGACGGGUGAGUAAUGUAUGGGGAACUGCCCGAUAGAGGGGGAUAACUACUGGAAACGGUGGCUAAUACCGCAUACUAUCGGAUGAACCCAUAUGGGAUUAGCUAGUAGGUGGGGUAAAGGCUCACCUAGGCGACGAUCCCUAGCGGGUCGGAGAGGAUGAUCGUCCACACGGGGACUGAGACACGGCCCAGACUCCUACGGGAGGCAGCAGUGGGGAAUAUUGCACAAUGGGCGCAAGCCUGAUGCAGCCAGGCGGCGUGUAUGAAGAAGGCCUUAGGGUUGUAAAGUACUUUCAGCGGGGAGGCGUUACCCGCAGAAGAAGCACCGGCUAACUCCGUGCCAGCAGCCGCGGUAAUAC
rnacentral:rRNA from 1 species